rnacentral:rRNA from 1 species
GAAUAUGGGCAUACCAACUUGUGAAUGCCUGAUCUUGUCUGACCUCAAAAGCUGAGCAAGGUUGGGCCUGGGGAGUGCCAGGAUGGGAGACUACAGGGAAUACCACACAGCAGUGGUGG